rnacentral:rRNA from 1 species
UACGUAGGGUGCAAGCGUUGUCCGGAAUUAUUGGGCGUAAAGAGCUCGUAGGCGGCUUGUCGCGUCGGCUGUGAAAACCUGGGGCUCAACCCCGGGCCUGCAGCCGAUACGGGCAAGCUAGAAUUCGGUAGGGGAGACUGGAAUUCCUGGUGUAGCGGUGAAAUGCGCAGAUAUCAGGAGGAACACCGGUGGCGAAGGCGGGUCUCCGGGCCGAUAUUGACGCUGAGGAGCGAAAGCGUGGGGAGCGAACAGG